rnacentral:tRNA from 1 species
GGGGUUGUGGCUCAGUGGUAGAGCACUUGCCUAGCAUGUGUGAAGACACUGGGUUCGAUUCUCAGCCCUG